GAAAUGCGAUAAGUAGUGUGAAUUGCAGAAUUCAGUGAAUCAUCGAAUCUUUGAACGCACAUUGCGCCCCUUGGUAUUCCAUGGGGCAUGCCUGUUCGAGCGUCAUUUGUACCCUCAAGCUCUGCUUGGUGUUGGGUGUUUGUCCCGUCUCCGCGCGUGGACUCGCCCCAAAGUGAUUGGCAGCCGGCGUACUGGUCCCGGAGCGCAGCACAUGUCGCGCAAACGAGUGCCUUGGUACGGCGGCGUCCAUAAGCCCCUCUCUCACGCUCUUGACCUCGGAUCAGGUAGGGAUACCCGCUGAAGAUAAGC
rnacentral:misc_RNA from 1 species